AGUGAACGCUGGCGGUAGGCCUAACACAUGCGAGUCGAACGGCAGCACAGUAAGAGCUUGCUCUUACGGGUGGCGAGUGGCGGACGGGUGAGGAAUACAUCGGAAUCUACUUUUUCGUGGGGGAUAACGUAGGGAAACUUACGCUAAUACCGCAUACGACCUACGGGUGAAAGCAGGGGAUCUUCGGACCUUGCGCGAUUGAAUGAGCCGAUGUCGGAUUAGCUAGUUGGCGGGGUAAAGGCCCACCAAGGCGACGAUCCGUAGCUGGUCUGAGAGGAUGAUCAGCCACACUGGAACUGAGACACGGUCCAGACUCCUACGGGAGGCAGCAGUGGGGAAUAUUGGACAAUGGGCGCAAGCCUGAUCCAGCCAUACCGCGUGGGUGAAGAAGGACUUCGGGUUGUAAAGCCCUUUUGUUGGGAAAGAAAAGCAGCAGGUUAAUACCCCGCUGUUCUGACGGUACCCAAAGAAUAAGCACCGGCUAACUUCGUG
rnacentral:rRNA from 1 species